AGAUUGAACGCUGGCGGCAUGCCUUACACAUGCAAGUCGAACGGCAGCACGGGAGCAAUCCUGGUGGCGAGUGGCGAACGGGUGAGUAAUAUAUCGGAACGUGCCCAGUCGUGGGGGAUAACGCAGCGAAAGCUGUGCUAAUACCGCAUACGAUCUAUGGAUGAAAGCGGGGGAUCGCAAGACCUCGCGCGAUUGGAGCGGCCGAUAUCAGAUUAGCUAGUUGGUGGGGUAAAAGCCUACCAAGGCGACGAUCUGUAGCUGGUCUGAGAGGACGACCAGCCACACUGGAACUGAGACACGGUCCAGACUCCUACGGGAGGCAGCAGUGGGGAAUUUUGGACAAUGGGCGCAAGCCUGAUCCAGCAAUGCCGCGUGCAGGAUGAAGGCCUUGGUGUAACUGCUUUUGUACGGAACGAAACGGUUACGUCUCUAAUACCAAGGGCGUAAAGUGACGGUAACCGUAAGAAAUAAGACAACCGGCUAACUAACGUACG
rnacentral:rRNA from 1 species